rnacentral:rRNA from 1 species
GGUUUUUAGAUUUUAUUAAAAAUCAAGCCUGCUCAAUGCUAAGUAAAUAGCCGCGGAAUUUUAACUGUGCAAAGGUAGCAUAAUCACUUGUCUUUUAAUUGAGGACUAGAAUGAAAGGUUUAACUAUGUAAUUUUGUCUUAUAGUAAUAUUUUGAACUUAAUUUUUUAGUAAAAAAGCUAAAAUUCAUCUUAAAGACGAGAAGACCCUAUUAAGCUUUACAAUUUAAUAUUAUUUUCAAACUAAUUAAAAAAUUGUUCUGCUGGGGCAGCAAAUAAAAAAAUAUUGUUUACAUAUUGUGAUAAAUAAAUCUAGAAAAAUCAAUAAUUUGUUAAAAAAUAAUAAGUUACUAUAGGGAUAACAGCAUAAUUUUUUUAAAGAGUUCUCAUCAACAAAAAAGUUUGUGACCUCGAUGUUGGAUUAAGAAUCCUAUUUUACGCAGUAGUAAAAAAAGGGAGUCUGUUCGACUUUUAAAUUCUUCCA